UUAAUUGAAGCCAAGAAUAGAGGCUUUUCACUGUUAAUGAAACUAAUGGUAUUAUUACCCAAUUAAA
rnacentral:tRNA from 1 species